UGGCUCGGUUUCCUGGGACGUGGGUUCAGCCUACUCCACCUCCCCUCAGACGAGCCUAGAGCAGAGAGGCCAGGCAUCCUCCCCCAUCAGAGAGGUGGUUAAGACAGGAGCAUCACUUCUACUGUCCUUGCCUCACAUUU